rnacentral:lncRNA from 11 species
GGGGAAUGUUUGUAAUGCAUUUUGGGACUUACUGAAUCACUUGCUUCAGAACUUACUCAGAGUAAGUUCCUGGCUGAGAGCCUAUUAUGCUUGUCUCCCUGCACUAUUGAAGAAGAAAUCUCCAAAGAAGAUGCAUGAAUUUAAUGCAAAGAAUUUUAUGUGAGUUUGUUGCUCCAGGUGGACUAAUUAUUUUGAAACUGGAGGUUUUGUGUUUUGAAGCUGCUUGUUUAAUUUUCUCCUUGACUCAGCCCAAACAAACCCUGAGAUCACCAGGAGAUGCCCUUCUCUUAGUUCCACCAUUGCCACAUAUACAUUUGGUGGGAACAAGAGGGACGGCCUUUUCAGUGGUGGCCCCACAGCUCUGGAACCCCCUUCCCAAAGAGAGCCGGGUCGCUAAUUCCAAAUGUUUCAACAAUUCCAAACCCUGAUGUCUCCUCUCUCCCAGAAUCCAAAAAGCAAUGGAAACAAAUAAUGUAAAAACCAACACCAAGACCCAAUUUGGAAAAGAUAAAUGAAGGCUGUUUGAAAUGUUACCAAG